GAUGAACGCUGGCGGCGUGCCUAAUACAUGCAAGUCGAGCGAACGGACGAGAAGCUUGCUUCUCUGAUGUUAGCGGCGGACGGGUGAGUAACACGUGGAUAACCUACCUGUAAGACUGGGAUAACUUCGGGAAACCGGGGCUAAUACCGGAUAAUAUUUUGAACCGCAUGGUUCAAAAGUGAAAGACGGUCUUGCUGUCACUUAUAGAUGGAUCCGCGCUGCAUUAGCUAGUUGGUAAGGUAACGGCUUACCAAGGCAACGAUGCAUAGCCGACCUGAGAGGGGGACCGACCACCCGGGAACUAGGACCCGCUCCGGACCACAACGGGAGGCAACAGUAAGGAAUCUUCCGCAAUGGGCGAAGGCCUGAAGGAGCAACGCCGCGAGAGUGAUGAAGGUCUUCGGAUCGUAAAACUCUGUUAUUAGGGAAGAACAUAUGUGUAAGUAACUGUGCACAUCUUGACGGUACCUAAUCAGAAAGCUACGGCUAACUACGUG
rnacentral:rRNA from 1 species